ACGAUCAUGUUGAGGGCAACUUCUAAGCAAGCCCUUGUAUCUUCCGCAAGCUUCAUACAAUGACUCUCAAACCUCUUGUUGAAAGUUGGCUAUCUUCUUCUUGAGCUU